AUUGAACGCUAGCGGGAUGCUUUACACAUGCAAGUCGAACGGCAGCACGAAAAGAGCUUGCUCUUUUUGGUGGCGAGUGGCGAACGGGUGAGUAAUGUAUCGGAACGUACCCAGUAGCGGGGGAUAACUACGCGAAAGCGUGGCUAAUACCGCAUACGCCCUACGGGGGAAAGGGGGGGAUCGCAAGACCUCUCACUAUUGGAGCGGCCGAUAUCGGAUUAGCUAGUUGGUGGGGUUAAGGCUCACCAAGGCAACGAUCCGUAGCUGGUUUGAGAGGACGACCAGCCACACUGGGACUGAGACACGGCCCAGACUCCUACGGGAGGCAGCAGUGGGGAAUUUUGGACAAUGGGGGAAACCCUGAUCCAGCCAUCCCGCGUGUGCGAUGAAGGCCUUCGGGUUGUAAAGCACUUUUGGCAGGGAAGAAACGGCGCUGACUAAUACUUGGCGCAACUGACGGUACCUGCAGAAUAAGCACCGGCUAACUACGUG
rnacentral:rRNA from 1 species